rnacentral:lncRNA from 1 species
AGACGUGGAUUUCAUAUGGUCCGUUUCCCCAGAUUUGGGAACGCUUUCACUUAUUGUAGUUCCUAAAAGAACAUAACAAUCGUAAUAAAAAUCAUGCAACAGGAAGCAUAGAUGCCAUUGGAUCCACUCUGGGCCCCACAUAGCGUGGAUACCAGAUACGAACACUGGUCCUUCCUUCCAUGCGAGCUGAAUUUUAUCCAAGCAUACUUCACCAGCUACGUAGAGGAGCCUAAGAAAGUCCCAAGUACCAACAUAGAACUAGUUUUAAGUUGGGCCUCCAUAGGCCUAGCUUCAUUAUUCAUACUUCUCACACCACAAGCCCCUUACAUCCAAACAGAUUCUAAGGAACAGUCACAACCAAAUUUGUAGCCGUUCAUCAACACGGAUACAUAGUACAAUAUCUACUCCUCACUCUUUUCAGCUGCAGCUUCCUUGUUCUCUUCCUCCACGGCAGGCUUCUCCUCCAAUUCUUCCUUCUUCUCCUCCUCGGCAGGAGCCACAGGUGCCUCCUCAGGGGCCUUGGUCUCCACGGGCUCCUCUGUGGGAACCUCACGUGCCGCCUCUUGGGCAGGCUCUUCAGUCUUCUCUGCUGCUGCUGCUGCUUCCUCCACCACCGGCUCGGCCUCGGCGACCACCUCCUCAGCCUUCACCUCCACAGGAGCCUGAAUUUCUUCGGUUGCAGCAUCAGUCGCUGCCUCCUCCUUUGGCUCCUCGACUGCUGCUGCCGGGGGUGUGACAACUUCCUCCUUUGGUGCUUCCUGGGCCUCGUUUG